UUAUAAUAAAAAAUUGAUUAAUAAGAAAUUAAAUGGAAGCAUUAAAUUUAGAUAAUUUGGCGGUAUUUUAAAUAGUUAGAGGAAUUUGUUAGUUAAAUGAUAGUCCACGAAUGGUAUGUCCUAAAGUUAUUUUUAUGUAUUGUUGUAUUAAAAUUAUUUUAAAAGAAAUAUAAUUAAGAUAUUAUAUUUAAUUAUAAUUCAAAUCAAAAUGUAGAAUUGUUAGGGUUAAAUGAAUUACAAUUUAAUUUAAUAUUAGAAUUAUUUUUUAAAGUAAAAUAAUAAAAAAGAAUUUAAAAGUAAAUUUAACUAAGUAUUUAAAUUGAAAUUUUUAUUGAAAUAUG
rnacentral:rRNA from 1 species